ensembl:piRNA 21ur-6554 ncRNA
UAUUUCAUCUGAAAGAAAACC